rnacentral:rRNA from 1 species
AUACGUAGGUGACAAGCGUUAUCCGGAUUUACUGGGUGUAAAGGGCGCGUAGGCGGGGGUGCAAGUCAGAUGUGAAAUCUAUGGGCUUAACUCAUAAACUGCAUUUGAAACUGUAUCUCUUGAGUGCUGGAGAGGUAGACGGAAUUCCUUGUGUAGCGGUGAAAUGCGUAGAUAUAAGGAAGAACACCAGUGGCGAAGGCGGUCUACUGGACAGUAACUGACGCUGAGGCGCGAAAGCGUGGGGAGCAAACAGGAUUAGAUACCCUGGUAGUCCACGCUGUAAACGAUGAAUACUAGGUGUGGGGGGACUGACCCCCUCCGUGCCGCAGUUAACACAAUAAGUAUUCCACCUGGGGAGUACGGCCGCAAGGUUGAAACUCAAAUGAAUUGACGGGG